rnacentral:rRNA from 1 species
GAUGAACGCUGGCGGUAUGCUUAACACAUGCAAGUCGAACGAAGAUUUUUAAUCUUAGUGGCGGACGGGUGAGUAACACGUGAGAAUCUGCCCUUAGGAAGAGGAUAACAGCUGGAAACGGUUGCUAAUACUCUAUACGCCGAAAGGUAAAAGGAAAUAUCCACCUUAGGAAGAGCUCGCGUCUGAUUAGCUUGUUGGUGAGGUAAUGGCUCACCAAGGCGACGAUCAGUAGCUGGUUUGAGAGGACGACCAGCCACACUGGGACUGAGACACGGCCCAGACUCAUACGGGAGGCAGCAGGGGGGAAUUGUCCGAAAUGGGCGAAAGCCUGACGGGGCAAUACCGCGUGAGGGAUGAAAGCCUGUGGGUUGUAAACCUCUUUUCUCAAGGAAGAAAUUUUAACGGUACUUGAGGAAUAAGCAUCGGCUAACUCUGGGCCAGCCGCCGCGGUAA